rnacentral:rRNA from 1 species
CCUACGGGCGGCAGCAGUGAGGAAUAUUGGUCAAUGGGCGAGAGCCUGAACCAGCCAAGUCGCGUGAGGGAGUACUGCCCUCUGGGUUGUAAACCUCUUUUGUCGGGGAGCAAAAGCCGGACGUGUCCGGCUGUGAGAUUACCCGUAGAAAAAGCAUCGGCUAACUCCGGCCCAGCAGCCGCGGUAAUACGGAGGAUGCGAGCGUUAUCCGGAUUUAUUGGGGUUAAAGGGUGAGCAGGCGGAUUUUUAAGUCAGCGGUAAAAUCGUGGGGCUCAACCCCAUCCAGCCGGUGAAACUGGGGAUCUAGAGUGUGCGAGAGGUAUGCGGAAUGCGUGGGGUAGCGGUGAAAUGCAUAGAGAUCACGCAGAACACCGAUUGCGAAGGCAGCAUACCGGUGCACAACUGACGCUCAGGCACGAAAGCGUGGGUAUCGAACAGGAUUAGAUACCCGAGUAGUC